rnacentral:rRNA from 1 species
CCCUUAGAUGUCCGGAGCUGCACGCGCGCUACACUGAAGGAAUCAGCGUGCUAAAACCAUUGUCGAAAGGCAUUGGUAAACCCAUUAAAAUCCUACGUGAUUGGGAUCGGGAAUUGCAAUUAUUUCCCUUGAACGAGGAAUUCCCAGUAAGUGUGGGUCAUAAGCUCGCGUUGAUUACGUCCCUGCCCUUUGUACACACCGCCCGUCGCUGCCCGGGACUGAGCCGUUUCGAGAAAAGCGGGGACUGCUGCUGUCGGGGCUUUCGGGCCUUGGCUUCGGUGGAAACCGCUUUAAUCGCAGUGGCUUGAACCGGGCAAAAGUCGUANCA